AACAGAUCCAAUCAUGCAGAAACAGCCUCACGCCUUCAGUUCCGGUUACACGUCAGUAUGGGACAGUGCUGCUGACAUUUCGGUUCUUCCUGUUCAAAUCUUCAUGUACGCUUGUUCCCUAUUCCCUCUGCCCCAAAUCUCUCCUUGCUCUCCACAGUCACAUACUAUAAGCAUCACCAGGACCAACUGCCGCUUUACUGAGUGUUCUGUCUUCCAGAGCCUUUCCAAAGGUCGUUUUGCUUCUCAUAACAGCCUUGGGGCAGGAUGCCUGACACGUCCGCAUUUCGUAGACUAAACUGAGUCAGCAGUCUCAAAGUCCAUGAGACGGCAGGUGGCUGCAGUAAGUAGAAUGUAGCCUGGACAGAGCCCGAAUGUACAAGGACAUCAACUAAUCUGGAAGCAGUGGGAUUUUUCACAUGGGUGGUGCUGGUUGGUCUUAACUGUCAACUUCAUGCAGCCCAGCAUCAUCUAUGGGGAAACUGUGGAGCGAGUAGUUGUUGUUUUCAGUUUAGUUUGAGGAUAUGUCUGAGAGGGGUUCUUUUGUCUGAUGAUAUAGAUGGAUGCCGUUCACUGUGGGUAGCACCAUUUCCCCGGUAGGUGGUCCAGGGCUACGAGAGAGUACUAGCUAAGCAAGAGACUGUGAAGAAGCCAAGAAGAGCCCUCCGUGGCUUCUGCUCUAGGUUCCUACCUUGAGUUCCUGCCCUGACUUCCUUCAGUGAUGAGACAGGGAGGUCCCAUCCCAUGUGUGGGCUCUGAUCAAGACGGGAGCCAUAGCAAUGGACAGAAGAGGAGCUAAGCUCCCACACUCCGGCCACAGGCAACCUUUGCUACUUUAAGACGCUGAUGUAGGGCUGAAGAGAUGGCUCGGAGGUUAAGAGCACUGACUGCUCUUCCAGAGGUCCUGAAUUCAAAUCCCAGCAACCACAUGGUGGCUCACAACCAUCUGUAAUGAGAUCUGAUGCCCUCUUCUGGUGUGUCUGAAGAUAGCUACAGUGUACUUAUAUAUAAUAAAUAAAUAAACCUUAAAAAAAAAGACGUGGAUGUAAAUACAAAGUGAAACACGCUAGCUGUUACACUGAAAACGUACUCGAUCUUUCCCAGGCUCUAAAAGUUGGUUCUCAACACAAGGGCCAAGAUUGCAGUGUUUUCAAACAAAAGAUAGAAAAACAAAGCGCCUAUUGUGGACAGUACAUCCAGUGUUUCUCUGACUUUCCCAACACUGGCUAACAAACGUCAGUGAAGUGUCUAGAACUGAAGAGCCGGGCUCCCCCCACCAUCAUGAGACCAGAGGGCAGCACAGGCUUCCACCAAAGGUGAAGGGUCGAACUCUGAUCCUCACCACACAGGACUGCCCCAAGAGGUAAAUAAAUCAAUACUGGGAUAUUUGCUUGACAAUAGAUUAGGGGGCAAAGGGGGGCGUCCCUGUAAUUAUUUCACAGUGCACAGGGAUGCUUACUAUAAGCUACGUUAAAAUGUUUACUCAUCUACGUGAGUGGUGUGGUUGUUGGCGUGUAAACACAAAGCCUAGGGGACUGGGGAGGGGGCCCUGGAGCUUAGUUACAGGCAGUUGUGAGCUACUCAUCGUGUACCUGGGAACUGAACUCAGGUCCUCUGCAAGAGCAGGCCUGCUGAGAACUGUUCCAAAGCUUACCCCUCGAGCCAAGUAUAGAACAGAAGAAGCAAGUCCAUGCAGACAUCAUUUUGGCACGCACCUUU